rnacentral:rRNA from 3 species
UACGUAUGUCCCGAGCGUUAUCCGGAUUUAUUGGGCGUAAAGCGAGCGCAGACGGUUGAUUAAGUCUGAUGUGAAAGCCCGGAGCUCAACUCCGGAAUGGCAUUGGAAACUGGUUAACUUGAGUGUUGUAGAGGUAAGUGGAACUCCAUGUGUAGCGGUGGAAUGCGUAGAUAUAUGGAAGAACACCAGUGGCGAAGGCGGCUUACUGGACAACAACUGACGUUGAGGCUCGAAAGUGUGGGUAGCAAACAGG